AUGCACGCUGGCGGCGUGCCUAAUACAUGCAAGUCGAGCGAACAGACGAGGAGCUUGCUCCUCUGACGUUAGCGGCGGACGGGUGAGUAACACGUGGAUAACCUACCUAUAAGACUGGGAUAACUUCGGGAAACCGGAGCUAAUACCGGAUAAUAUAUUGAACCGCAUGGUUCAAUAGUGAAAGACGGUUUUGCUGUCACUUAUAGAUGGAUCCGCGCCGCAUUAGCUAGUUGGUAAGGUAACGGCUUACCAAGGCGACGAUGCGUAGCCGACCUGAGAGGGUGAUCGGCCACACUGGAACCGAGACACGGUCCAGACUCCUACGGGAGGCAGCAGUAGGGAAUCUUCCGCAAUGGGCGAAAGCUUGACGGAGCAACGCCGCGUGAGUGAUGAAGGUCUUCGGAUCGUAAAACUCUGUUAUUAGGGAAGAACAAAUGUGUAAGUAACUAUGCACGUCUUGACGGUACCUAAUCAGAAAGCCACGGCUAACUACGUG
rnacentral:rRNA from 1 species